UAAAACGCUUUGGUAAUCGCUGCAAACCUUGUUUGUAGAGGAAAGUCCAUGCUCGCACAAGCUGAGAUGCUUGUAGUGUUCGUGCCUAGUCAAAAAAUAAGCUAGGGCAGCAUAUUUAUGCUGACGGCAGGGAAAAUACCUAAGUCUUCGGAUAUGGUAUGAAUACUUUGAAAGUGCCACAGUGACGUAGCUUUGUCAGAAAUGACAAGGGUGGAACGAGGUAAACCCCACGAGCGAGAAACCCAAAUUAUGGUAGGGGAACUUUCUCUGAGGAAAUGAACGGAAGAGAAGGACAGAAAUUAUUUUCUGUAGAUAGAUGAUUACCGCCUUAGUACGAGAUGAAAAGUCGCAUGAGUACAAAGGAACAGAACAUGGCUUAUAGAGCGUGAUAUUGA
rnacentral:RNase_P_RNA from 1 species